rnacentral:rRNA from 1 species
AACGCUGGCGGCGUGGAUAAGACAUGCAAGUCGAACGAGAGAAUUGCUAGCUUGCUAAUAAUUCUCUAGUGGCGCACGGGUGAGUAACACGUGAGUAACCUGCCCCCGAGAGCGGGAUAGCCCUGGGAAACUGGGAUUAAUACCGCAUAGUAUCGAAAGAUUAAAGCAGCAAUGCGCUUGGGGAUGGGCUCGCGGCCUAUUAGUUAGUUGGUGAGGUAACGGCUCACCAAGGCGAUGACGGGUAGCCGGUCUGAGAGGAUGUCCGGCCACACUGGAACUGAGACACGGUCCAGACACCUACGGGUGGCAGCAGUCGAGAAUCAUUCACAAUGGGGGAAACCCUGAUGGUGCGACGCCGCGUGGGGGAAUGAAGGUCUUCGGAUUGUAAACCCCUGUCAUGUGGGAGCAAAUUAAAAAGAUAGUACCACAAGAGGAAGAGACGGCUAACUCUGUGCCAGCAGCCGCGGUAAUACAGAGGUCUCAAGCGUUGUUCGGAAUCACUGGGCGUAAAGCGUGCGUAGGCUGUUUCGUAAGUCGUGUGUGAAAGGCGCGGGCUCAACCCGCGGACGGCACAUGAUACUGCGAGAUUAGAGUAAUGGAGGGGGAACCGGAACUCUCGGUGUAGCAGUGAAAUGCGUAGAUAUCGAGAGGAACACUCGUGGCGAAGGCGGGUUCCUGGACAUUAACUGACGCUGAGGCACGAAGGCCAGGGGAGCGAAAGGGAUUAGAUACCCCUGUAGUCCUGGCAGUAAACGGUGCACGCUUGGUGUGCGGGGAAUAGACCCCCUGCGUGCCGGAGCUAACGCGUUAAGCGUGCCGCCUGGGGAGUACGGUCGCAAGAUUAAAACUCAAAGAAAUAGACGGGGACCCGCACAAGCGGUGGAGUAUGUGGCUUAAUUCGAUGCAACGCGAAGAACCUUACCUGGGCUUGACAUGUAAUGAACAACAUGUGAAAGCAUGCGACUCUUCGGAGGCGUUACACAGGUGCUGCAUGGCCGUCGUCAGCUCGUGUCGUGAGAUGUUUGGUUAAGUCCAGCAACGAGCGCAACCCCUGUUGCCAGUUACCAGCACGUGAAGGUGGGGACUCUGGCGAGACUGCCCAGAUCAACUGGGAGGAAGGUGGGGAGGACGUCAGGUCAGUAUGGCCCUUAUGCCCAGGGCUGCACACGUACUACAAUGCCCAGUACAGAGGGGGCGGAAGCCGCGAGGCGGAGGAAAUCCUAAAAACUGGGCCCAGUUCGGACUGUAGGCUGCAACCCGCCUACACGAAGCCGGAAUCGCUAGUAAUGGCGCAUCAGCUACGGCGCCGUGAAUAAGUUCCCGGGUCUUGCACA